rnacentral:rRNA from 1 species
GAUGAACGCUGGCGGCGUGCCUAAUACAUGCAAGUCGAGCGAACAGACGAGGCGCUUGCUCCUCUGACGUUAGCGGCGGACGGGUGAGUAACACGUGGAUAACCUACCUAUAAGACUGGGAUAACUUCGGGAAACCGGAGCUAAUACCGGAUAAUAUAUUGAACCGCAUGGUUCACUAGUGAAAGACGGUUUUGCUGUCACUUAUAGAUGGAUCCGCGCCGCAUUAGCUAGUUGGUAAGGUAACGGCUUACCAAGGCGACGAUGCGUAGCCGACCUGAGAGGGUGAUCGGCCACACGGGAACUGAGACACGGUCCAGACUCCUACGGUAGGCAGCAGUAGGGAAUCUUACGCGAUGGGCGAAAGCGUGACGGAGCAACACCGCGUGAGUGAUGAAGGUCUUCGGAUCGUAAAACUCUGUUAUUAGGGAAGAACAAAUGUGUAAGUAACUAUGCACGUCUUGACGGUACCUAAUCAAAAAGCCACGGCUAACUACGUG